rnacentral:miRNA from 1 species
GACGUCGAAUAUCGACGUCAUAAACACCAAAGUUGAUCGUGUUUAUGACGUCGAAUAUCGACGUCAUAAGCACCGAAUUUGAUCGUGUUUAUGGCGUCGAAUAUCGACGUCAUAAACACCUAAGUUGAUCGUGUUUAUGACGUCGAAUAUCGACGUC